UACGUAGGGUGCGAGCGUUAAUCGGAAUUACUGGGCGUAAAGCGUGCGCAGGCGGUUCGUUGUGUCUGUGGUGAAAGCCCCGGGCUUAACCUGGGAAUGGCCAUGGAAACUGGCGAGCUGGAGUGUGGCAGAGGGGGGUGGAAUUCCGCGUGUAGUAGUGAAAUGCGUAGAGAUGCGGAGGAACACCGAUGGCGAAGGCAGCCCCCUGGGUUGACACUGACGCUCAGGCACGAAAGCGUGGGGAGCAAACAGG
rnacentral:rRNA from 1 species